rnacentral:rRNA from 1 species
AGAGUUUGAUCCUGGCUCAGGACGAACGCUGGCGGCGUGCCUAAUACAUGCAAGUAGAACGCUGAAGGAGGAGCUUGCUUCUCUGGAUGAGUUGCGAACGGGUGAGUAACGCGUAGGUAACCUGCCUGGUAGCGGGGGAUAACUAUUGGAAACGAUAGCUAAUACCGCAUAAGAGUGGAUGUUGCAUGACAUUUGCUUAAAAGGUGCACUUGCAUCACUACCAGAUGGACCUGCGUUGUAUUAGCUAGUUGGUGGGGUAAGGGCUCACCAAGGCGACGAUACAUAGCCGACCUGAGAGGGUGAUCGGCCACACUGGGACUGAGACACGGCCCAGACUCCUACGGGAGGCAGCAGUAGGGAAUCUUCGGCAAUGGACGGAAGUCUGACCGAGCAACGCCGCGUGAGUGAAGAAGGUUUUCGGAUCGUAAAGCUCUGUUGUAAGAGAAGAACGAGUGUGAGAGUGGAAAGUUCACACUGUGACGGUAUCUUACCAGAAAGGGACGGCUAACUACGUGCCAGCAGCCGCGGUAAUACGUAGGUCCCGAGCGUUGUCCGGAUUUAUUGGGCGUAAAGCGAGCGCAGGCGGUUAGAUAAGUCUGAAGUUAAAGGCUGUGGCUUAACCAUAGUAGGCUUUGGAAACUGUUUAACUUGAGUGCAAGAGGGGAGAGUGGAAUUCCAUGUGUAGCGGUGAAAUGCGUAGAUAUAUGGAGGAACACCGGUGGCGAAAGCGGCUCUCUGGCUUGUAACUGACGCUGAGGCUCGAAAGCGUGGGGAGCAAACAGGAUUAGAUACCCUGGUAGUCCACGCUGUAAACGAUGAGUGCUAGGUGUUAGACCCUUUCCGGGGUUUAGUGCCGUAGCUAACGCAUUAAGCACUCCGCCUGGGGAGUACGACCGCAAGGUUGAAACUCAAAGGAAUUGACGGGGGCCCGCACAAGCGGUGGAGCAUGUGGUUUAAUUCGAAGCAACGCGAAGAACCUUACCAGGUCUUGACAUCCCUCUGACCGCUCUAGAGAUAGAGUUUUCCUUCGGGACAGAGGUGACAGGUGGUGCAUGGUUGUCGUCAGCUCGUGUCGUGAGAUGUUGGGGUUAAGUCCCGCAACGAGCGCAACCCCUAUUGUUAGUUGCCAUCAUUUAGUUGGGCACUCUAGCGAGACUGCCGGUAAUAAACCGGAGGAAGGUGGGGAUGACGUCAAAUCAUCAUGCCCCUUAUGACCUGGGCUACACACGUGCUACAAUGGCUGGUACAACGAGUCGCAAGCCGGUGACGGCAAGCUAAUCUCUUAAAGCCAGUCUCAGUUCGGAUUGUAGGCUGCAACUCGCCUACAUGAAGUCGGAAUCGCUAGUAAUCGCGGAUCAGCACGCCGCGGUGAAUACGUUCCCGGGCCUUGUACACACCGCCCGUCACACCACGAGAGUUUGUAACACCCGAAGUCGGUGAGGUAACCGUAAGGAGCCAGCCGCCUAAGGUGGGAUAGAUGAUUGGGGUGAAGUCGUAACAAGGUAGCCGUAUCGGAAGGUGCGGCUGGAUCACCU